AACGAACGCUGGCGGCAUGCCUAACACAUGCAAGUCGAACGAGACCUCCGGGACUAGUGGCGCACGGGUGCGUCACGUGUGGGAACCUGCCCUUAGGUUCGGAAUAACUCCCCGAAGGGGGUGCUAAUACCGGAUAAUGUAUUCGAACCAAAUAUACAUCGCAUUUGGGGGGGCACGCGUUGGAUUAGCUUGUUGGUAGGGUAAAAGCCUACCAAGGCGACGAUCGAUAGCUGGUCAGAGAGGAUGCUCAGCGACACUGAGACUGAGACACGGCCCGGACUCCUGCGGGAAGCAGCAGUGGGGGAUAGUGGAAAAUGGGCUAAAGCAUGAUCCAGCUAUGCCGCGUGAGCGAUGAAGGCCGUAGAGUAGUGAAGCUCUUUUACCCGGGAUUAUAAUGACAGUACCGGGAGAAUAAGCUCCGGCUAACUCCGUG
rnacentral:rRNA from 1 species